AAGUGCCUUGAGACAAGGUGCGCGUUGGUCGAUGUCGUGCCUCCACGGGUUUGGAAGUUACGGGCCGGAGGGCCCUGGUCCGGUUGCAGCUUUCUCCCGGGUUCCUCCCCGCCGCUCCUCCGGUCCGUGGGUCCUCUGCAGCCUGCCUUCCCCACCCCGGGCCGCCCCUGUUGCUCGCGUUUCUCUACCCCAAGUAUUGCACUUACUGAAGAGCUCCUUGGAAGGUUCUUGAGAAGAUAAAGAAGGUAGUGGGGACGGACCUCCGGAGCUGCUCCAGCCCUAAAUGGCAGCAGAAUCAAGAAAGUCGUUAGCCCCUUCCCCAUCUGACCAAGCUCCUGAGGAAGACCUUGUCAUCGUCAAGGUAGAGGAAGAUCAUGGCUGGGACCAGGAAUCCAGUCUGCAUGAAAAUAACCCUCCCGGCCAAGAGCUGUUCCGCCUGCGCUUCAGGAAGUUAUGCUACCAGGAGACGUUAGGGCCCCGAGAAGCUCUGAUCCAACUCCGCGCACUUUGCCAUCAGUGGCUAAGGCCGGAUUUGAACACCAAGGAGCAGAUCUUGGAGCUGCUGGUGCUGGAGCAGUUCCUGACCAUCCUGCCUGAGGAGCUGCAGACGCUGGUGAAGGAACAUCAGCUGGAGAACGGAGAGGAGGUGGUGACCCUGCUGGAGGACUUGGAAAGGCAGAUUGACAUACUAGGGCGGCCGGUCCCAGCCCGUGCACGUGGACAUGGACUCUGGGAGGAGGUGGUGCGUUCAGAGUCUGCACCAGAGCUUCCAGAUGCUCCGCUCCGAUCUGUGGCAACCCAGCACAAAUCUCCAGUGCCCCAAGGGCCACAAGAGAGAGCCAUCUCUACUUCUCAGAGUCCUACCCCUUCCCAGAAGGGAAGUCCUGGAGACCAGGAGAUGACAGCAACACUUCUCACAGCAGGGUUCCAGACUUUAGAGAAGAUCGAAGACAUGGCUGUGUCCCUGAUUCGAGAGGAGUGGCUUCUUGAUCCAUCCCAGAAGGAUCCCAGUAGAGAUACUAGGCCAGAGAAUUACCGAAACAUGUUCUCCCUGGGUGGUGAGACCAGGAAUGAGAACAGGGAAUUAUCUUCGAAACAGGUAAUAUCUACUGGAAUCCAACCACAUGGAGAGACAGCUGCCAAAUGCAACGGGGAUGUUAUCGGGGGUCUUGAGCAUGGAGAAGCCAGAGAUCUUCUGGGCAGAUUAGAGAGGCAGCGGGGAAAUCCCACCCAGGAGAGACGACAUAAAUGUGAUGAAUGUGGGAAGAGCUUUGCUCAGAGCUCAGGCCUUGUUCGCCACUGGAGAAUCCACACUGGGGAGAAACCCUAUCAGUGUAAUGUGUGCGGUAAAGCCUUCAGUUACAGGUCAGCCCUUCUUUCCCAUCAGGAUAUCCACAACAAAGUAAAGCGCUAUCACUGUAAGGAGUGUGGUAAAGCCUUCAGUCAAAACACAGGCCUGAUCCUGCACCAGAGAAUCCAUACUGGGGAGAAGCCGUAUCAGUGCAAUCAGUGUGGGAAGGCUUUCAGUCAGAGUGCGGGCCUUAUUCUGCACCAGAGAAUCCACAGUGGGGAGAGACCCUAUGAAUGUAAUGAGUGUGGGAAAGCUUUCAGUCAUAGCUCUCACCUCAUUGGACAUCAGAGAAUCCACACUGGGGAGAAGCCCUAUGAGUGUGAUGAGUGUGGGAAAACCUUCAGGCGGAGCUCACAUCUUAUUGGCCAUCAGAGAAGCCACACUGGGGAAAAACCCUACAAAUGCAAUGAGUGUGGGAGGGCCUUCAGUCAGAAGUCAGGCCUUAUUGAACAUCAGAGAAUCCACACUGGAGAAAGACCCUAUAAAUGUAAAGAAUGUGGGAAAGCUUUCAAUGGGAACACGGGCCUCAUACAGCAUCUGAGAAUUCACACAGGGGAGAAGCCCUAUCAAUGUAAUGAGUGUGGGAAAGCCUUUAUUCAGAGGUCAAGUCUCAUUCGGCAUCAGAGAAUCCACAGUGGAGAAAAAUCUGAAUCCAUAGGAGUUUAGGAACAAAGCACAAUCGUAGUUUGGGCAUUAUUCCAUAUUAGAGAAACCACAUGCUGGUGAGGGUUCUUUCAGUGUAGUAAAAAGAAAGUGUGUCAUCACUGCAACCUCACCAGGGUCAGAACAGAUCGUGGUGGUGGAUUAGAGUAGCUCUUCAGUAGUCUGGGCCAGUGCCUUGAUGAGGUGGGUUAGCUUGACUGUCCGGGGAGGUGUCUGAGGAAGUGGAGCUCCUGAUGGCCUGAUGUAUCCUUUAGAAACAAAAUAGCAUUAGAGCAAGUUGCUUGUCAUGGAGGCACUUAAUUUUUUCUUUUGAGGAGUAGUUGUAGGUUUUGAGAGAGGCUACUCCUGGUUCCUCUGCUUCCUUCCGUCUCCUGUGAUUCCCUUCCCACAUUUACCUCCCUGAGGUGCACUUGUGCUGCACAUCUGAUCUGAGAAGCCACUUUAGAGUUUGAAGCAGCCUCUGUGUGAAAUUUAUUUUGUACUUAGCUUCCUGAGAACCUAGUUCUAGGGAAAUUUUUACAGACACUUAAUGUAUUUAUGCUUAAGUGUGCAUUUUGUUUUAUUCUGAUGUUCUGAUAGUCAGUGGAAAACCAUAUUCCCACGCAAACUCAGAAUGCUAUAUUUCUAACAGCACUGCAGCAUUUUUUCUUCAUAUCUCACCUUCCCUGACUCCAGUGAGUCAUUGAGCGUCCAUACGUAUCCUUCACCACCCCCAGCCCCCGUGCGUGUGUCCGCAAAGGAGGUGAUGGUUGUGGGAAUGAAGCAGAGAAAGAGGUGAGUGGAGACUCAGCCUGGCUGCUCUUCAGCUCGGGUGGUUGUACCUUUUGGUGACUUGUGGCUCUCCUUUCCACCUUCCCACGGUACACUGUGGUACACAGAGGUGGUGACACUAUCCUAGUCACUGCAUCACAUGGGAGAAAGGGGAGACAGAGGUGCUUGAAGAAGACCUAAAAAUCCUUACAAAGAAUGUACACACAGCUCGCCUGGCCCAUUACAGUACUGCCCUCUCAGGUUCUUACCAGUCUGCACAAACCCCUGACAGGACAGUCUGUCACUCCUGUCGUCACCCUGCUCCCACCUCGUCAGAUGGCCUUAGCCCCUCACCCUUCAUUCUCCAUCUGUUUCUUGCCAUUAGCUCUGUGUGUCCCCAUGGCGAUCUGUUGAAUACUUCCCCUCACAGCUCCUCAUCUUCUAGAUUCUGGUGAACUCCGUGUGUAAUCCAGCAGACAGAGUAUCUUAACUCAUUAUCACCAGGCACUAUCUUUCUUGGAGGCUUUCAGUGUACCAAAGGAUAUUCUGUAAAGUGACAAGGUUGGGUUAAAUAACACACCAGACUCUAUGCAUCCAAACAUGGUUUGUCCUUUAAAUUCGGCACUUCUGGUUAGCCCGGUAGCGCUACCGCUCCUCCAAAUAUUUGGAAGACUUGGACCCCUGAGUAACGUCUCAUUUUUGACCAUUACCCACUUGUUCAUCACAUUUGGACUGGAGUUACUUUUGGCUUUUUUCCAAAGUCAGCUUUCAGAAUUGGAAUUGAUUCCACUAGUCCUAUUCAGGAGACUAGGACGCACGCCAGGAGAAGUUACACAACUUCACACUGACUGUUCUAAACAGAAGCAACACUUACUAACAUAUAUUGAUGUUUUUCAAAAGGUCAUAAAAUCUUUCAUCAUAAAGGUCUGCCUUUUGGGUCAUGACUUCCUUCUCUAUAAAAUCCCUUCUCUGACCCACUGUGGCCCACCCUGAUCACUAACAACAUCACCCCUGUUUCACUGAGUGAGUGAUACCCAUCUGUCAUUUGUCAUUGUGGCUUCCUUGGUUAACUUUUUCAGAACAGUGCUUUCCAUUAUCCUUUGUUUUCUUAUUCUCCUUUUUUUUUCUUUUGGCCUAUAGGUUCCCUUGCACUUGAAGGGAAUUCCAUUACUCAUUCCCUUGUACUUGAAAAUUCAAGAAACCAGAAACAAAUCUGGUGGUUUCUAGAUCCUUGCUGUCUGCUUCAAUUGUGCCUUUACCCUCUGUAGGAUGCCAGUUCUGCCAGUGCUGCCUCUGUGCAGAUACUGUUUGGGAUGGGUACACCAUCAGAGGGAUAAUACGUGCACACAUCCACACAGUCCUCCCACGUAGUUCCGAGGAGCACUUGUCUUCUAUUCUGGUAAAAGCUGUCAGAACAACAUACUAAAAUGCCUGUAAGCGUACCAGCUAACAUCUCUCUACUCACAGUAAUGUGUAGUCAUGCUACUUAAAUCUAUAAUUACUAAGCACCUGGCAGGAAUUCAGAGAAAAGAAAAUAUGCCUAGAAAGAUUAGUGUGAUGCUGGGAUGAAUAAGGAAAGACUGUGACGGGCACCUGGGUGGCUCAGUGGGUUAAGCCUCUGCCUUAGGUUCAGGUCAUGAUCUCAGGGUCCUGGGAUCGAGCCCCACGUCGGGCUCUCUGCUCAGCGGGGAGCCUGCUUCCCCCUCUCUCUCUGCCUGCCUCUCUGCCUACUUGUGAUCUCUCUCUCUCUCUCUCUCGCUCGCUCGCUCUCUGUCAAAUAAAUACUUUAAAAAAAAAAAAAAGGAAAGACUGUGACUUGAAGGAACUAUCAAGGUUGGUUUAGCCCAUAUACAGAAAUGGCCGCAUAGUGUAAGAAGGUAGAAAAGGCUGUUGUUUCUUUGGGGGCACAUGUAGAAGUCCAUUCUUGGUCUCCACUUCUCACUCUUUGUACUAGAAUGUUGUCGAUCCAUCUUUAUGAUCUUAUCUUGAGCUCCUGAGUGAUGUGUGCUAAGUUCCUUUAUAUCCUGCAGAUUCUAUUUUUAUGCUCUUCAUCUGAGAUGAACUGUUCACCAAUACUUUCUUCUCCAAUCAUGAUCUCAUUUUAGGGCCCAGCAUGAUAAAGUGGUUCUUCUGUAACUCUGCAGCCAUUCAACUUAGUCCUAGAAGACAUGUCUUAGGUUUCAAAGAUUUCUGCCAUUGAGCAAGAUGGCAGCACUAGAAUGUGGUGGCUGAUUCCCAUACAGAGUAGUUAGCUUUACUCUUGGUCCUGAGCCUCUAAAUAGUAAUAGCUGACGUUUAAUAAGCACUUACUGUGUGCCAAGCCAUUUGCUAAGCAUUUCUCAUGGUUCUGAUAGAUAGUAUAUCCUACAUUUUACAGAUGAGGAAAUAGGCUUAGAAGGGUAAGUGAGUAGACCAAGGUUAUAGAGCUGGGAAGUGACAGAGUAGGGACUCUGCCCUACAGUGUCAGAUUCUCGAGCCUGUGCUGUUGACCACUGUGCUACCAUGUCUCUAAUGAACACCCUGACCCUGGCCAGCCAUCUGAAAAUUCGGUAUCCCUGGCCAUAAGAGCUACUGGGGAAGGGAACGUAGAGUAUAGUAUAGUACAGAUCCAUUGCAAUUACUGGAAAAUUGGUUUAAAAAUGUUAUUUUGAUUGAUACUUUUGAUGUUUGUAGUACUAGAAAGUUAAAUGGUACACAUAAAACAUGUUUAAAAGAGUACCUAAAAAAAAAAAAAAGUAACUCAGAGGAUUAAGCAGUAAUGUACAGAUUCAAGUAUAUUUCUCCCUAAACUGCCCCAGGGAACUAGAACUGUGGUGGGAAAUUAAAUAUCCAUGUGCCAUGCCAGGCCAGGCAUAUGGUCAUUUGGGAUGACAGU